rnacentral:rRNA from 1 species
GAUGAACGCUAGCUACAGGCUUAACACAUGCAAGUCGAGGGGCAGCAUGAGAGUAGCUUGCUACUUUUGAUGGCGACCGGCGCACGGGUGCGUAACACGUAUCCAAUCUACCCACGGCUCAGGGAUAGCCUUUCGAAAGAAAGAUUAAUACCUGAUGGUCUCCUUUAGGGACAUCCCUUUGGGAGUAAAGAUUCAUCGGCCAUGGAUGAGGAUGCGUCCGAUUAGCUUGACGGCGGGGUAACGGCCCACCGUGGCGACGAUCGGUAGGGGUUCUGAGAGGAAGGUCCCCCACACUGGAACUGAGACACGGUCCAGACUCC